rfam:Ictidomys tridecemlineatus contig008503, whole genome shotgun sequence.
GUGAUUGUAGCUCAGAGGUAGAGUACUUGCCUAGCACGAGUAAGGCACUGGGUUCAAUUCCCAGCACCACA